GACAUAUUUUGCACAGUAUCUUUUUGAGAAAGAUGCCUUAAAAAAGGUCUACAGUUAGACUCACCUUUUAACUUGCUGACUUCUGAAGCCUGCCUUUCCAGGCUGAAUGCAUACCUGAAUUCCCAGCCUGGGUGGGCAUGUGGACCCAGACCUCUGUGCACAGAGCUGGGAGUGCACGUCCGUUCUCCUGUAUAUGGAAGCAGGCAUCUGCACAGUGUGGGCAGAUCUCUGUGAAGAUGCUGAGCAGCUCUGCGUCCUUCCAGCCCAGUGCCCUGCCCAAAGCACAGCAGGUGGGAGAGGUGCCAGGAAAGUCACUUCUCACUGGCAGGUGCUCCUGGCUGUCAGCAGUGGGGCUUUGAGGAAGCUCUUCAGCGGAAGACCCGUGGUUAAUGAACUGAUGCGAGUGCACAAAGACAAGAAAAACAGAAAACUGAACCACUCCAUGUAGAGCGGACCAGAAUUCAGUGCCUUAAUAGGAUUGGGCACAUCCACUGUGAAUUAUUACACAGACGUACUUGCACGUUUUAUAAGAACAACUGAGAUGAUGCAAAUAGAACCACAGAACUUUCAAAUGUAAAAAUUAAAGGGCUGCAUCAUUUCUACUUUAAAAAGUCAACAGUUCCCUUUUCUAUCUGA
rnacentral:lncRNA from 1 species